GGAUGGGACAUGGGCCAAACUAAAAAGAGUAGACGUCAAAAAAAGAUGCUUUUUGUCAUUUUAGGUAGUUCUUAUUACGCUGAUUUAUGUUUAAGUGUUUAUUUUUCUAAUAAGUUUUGGUUUUAAUAAGUUAUUUGAUGCUUUAAAAAGGAGGUGAGACGUCAUGACCGACAGCUGCUCUUAGUGA